rnacentral:tRNA from 1 species
ACCUGGCUGGCUCGGUGGUAGAGCACGUGACUCUUGAUCUCAGGAUUGUGAGUUCAAGCCCCACGCUGGGCG